GAGUGAUCUGCCAGCCUCGGCCUCCCGAGGUGCCGGGAUUGCAGACGGAGUCUCUCAAUGGUGCCCAGGCUGGAGUGCAGUGGCGUGAUCUCGGCUCGCUACAACAUCCACCUCCCAGCAGCCUGCCUUGGCCUCCCAAAGUGCCGAGAUUGCAGCCUCUGCCCGGCCGCCACCCCGUCUGGGAAGUGAGGAGCGUCUCUGCCUGGCCGCCCAUCAUCUGGGAUGUGAGGAGCCCCUCUGCCUGGCUGCCCAGUCUGGAAAGUGAGGAGCGUCUCUGCCCAGCCGCCAUCCCAUCUAGGAAGUGAGGAGCGCCUCUUCCCGGCCGCCAUCACAUCUAGGAAGUGCGGAGCCUCUCUGCCCGGCCACCCAUCGUCUGAGAUGUGGGGAGCGCCUCUGCCCUGUCGCCCCGUCCGGGAUGUGAGGAGCGUCUCUCCCUGGCCGCCCCGUCUGAGAAGUGAGGAGCCCCUCCGCCCAGCAGCCACCCUGUCUGGGAAGUGAGGAGGGUCUCCGCCCGGCAGCCACCCCGUCCGGGAGGGAGAUGGGGGGGUCAGCCCCCCGCCCGGCCAGCCGCCCUGUCCGGGAGGUGGGGGGGUCAGUCCCCCGCCCGGCCAGCCGCCCCGUCCGGGAGGGAGGUGGGGGGGUCAGCCCCCCGCCUGGCUAGCCGCCCCAUCCCGGAGGUGAGGGGCGCCUCUGCCUGGCCGCCCCUACUGGGAAGUGAGGAGCCCCUCUGCCCGGCCAGCCGCCCCGUCCGGGAGGGAGGUGGGGGGGGUCAGCCCCCCGCCCGGCCAGCCGCCCCGUCCGGGAAGGAGGUUGGGGGGUCAGCCCCCCGCCCGGCCGGGAAGGAGGUUGGGGGGUCAGCCCCCCGCCCGGCCAGCCACCCCGUCCGGGAGGUGAGGGGCGCCUCUGCCCGGCCGCUCCUACUGGGAAGUGAGGAGCCCCUCUGCCCGGCCACCACCCCGUCUGGGAGGUGUACCCAACAGCUCAUUGAGAACGGGCCAUGAUGACAAUGGCGGUUUUGUGGACUAGAAAGGUGGGAAAGGUGGGGAAAAGAUUGAGAAAUCGGAUGGUUGCCGUGUCUGUGUAGAAAGAGGUAGACGUGGGAGACUUUUCAUUUUGUUCUGUACUAAGAAAAAUUCUUCUGCCUUGGGAUCCUGUUGAUCUGUGACCUUACCCCCAACCCUGUGCUCUCUGAAACAUGUGCUGUGUCCACUCAGGGUUAAAUGGAUUAAGGGCGGUGCAAGAUGUGCUUUGUUAAACAGACGCUUGAAGGCAGCAUGCUCGUUAAGAGUCAUCACCACUCCCUAAUCUCAAGUACCCAGGGACACAAACACUGCGGAAGGCCGUGGGGUCCUCUGCCUAGGAAAACCAGAGACCUUUGUUCACUUGUUUAUCUGCUGACCUUCCCUCCACUAUUGUCCUGUGACCCUGCCAAAUCCCCCUCUGCGAGAAACACCCAAGAAUGAUCAAUAAAAAAAAAUAAUAAUAAUAAUAAAAAGAAAGAAAGAAUUAAACAAGAAAAAAAAAAGACCACAAAAAAAAAAAAAAAAAAAGAAAUGUAAUCCCCAAUGCAGGAGAUGGGGCCUGGUGGGAGGUGUCUGUGUCAUGGGACCAAUGACAGAAGAUCCCUCCUGAAUCGCUUGGUGCCCUCCUUGUAGUAAUGAGUGAGUUCUCACUCUGAGUUCAGAGGAGGUCUGGUUGUUCAAAAGAGUGUGGCACCUGCCCUCUGCCCAUGCUCCCAGCCCCAGGGAUUUCUUUUGAGGGGCACAAAAAUCGACUAAAACAGCAACCACAGCCAUUGGUCUUUUAUGUCAUCAUUCUUACAUCUCUUCUCUCCUAGCUUCCUCUCCUAUUUCACUUGCUGUUCCUGGCCUCUUCUUCUAGCUUGACUCUCCUGAUCCCCUUUCUUUUCUGUUCCUUCCCUUCUUUCCACUCUUGUCACUGCCUAAGAUGGUGAUGCUCACAGCUAAGGAGUUUGCUCACCCUGGCCAUAAGACGAAGGGUUAGGAUUGGCUAGUCACUGUUUUUAACUAAACAGGGGUAGACACUUGGCCAUUGGAACCUAGAAUUCUGUCUGUCAUUGGCCUUGGGCUCCGUUUGCUCUGCAUCCCGCAUGUGAACACUGACCGGGGCCUGUUUCCCUCCUACUGCUCCAUCUCCAAGAGCAGCAUGACAGUCACACAUUGCUCAAGCUAGAAAUGUGACAGUAUCUCAGUCUGUCCUCUCCCUUCCAUGUCAUAUCUAAGCAGCCAGGGAGUCCUGUCUAUCCCAAGGCACGCCUCCUGUCCCUUUCCUCUCCACCACACCGCCCCUGCUCAUGCCCACUCUUCUGACUGAACUCAUUACAUUCCCUCCUACCUCGUUUCCCAGGCUCUAAACUCACCUUCUGGGAACCUCUGAUCCCUGCUUACAUCCAUGGCUCCUUCUGCCUCUAAGAUAAGAUGCAUGUACCUUGGCCUGGCCUGCAGGGUCCUCCAGAGCAGGCCCACUUAACCUUGCCAUCUUCAUCUGGCCCUGCGCCUCACACCCUACGUUCUGGCCAUAUUGGACCCUAG
rnacentral:lncRNA from 1 species